rnacentral:tRNA from 1 species
GGCCGACUGGCCCAGUGGUUAAGGCACCCGCUUUACAUAGCAGCUUGGGCUGCUUGGAGAAUCGCGGGGGAUCGCAGGUUCGAACCCUGCGUCGGUCA